rnacentral:rRNA from 1 species
UACAGAGGUCUCAAGCGUUGUUCGGAUUCAUUGGGCGUAAAGGGCGCGUAGGCGGGUCUGCAAGUCCGGGGUGAAAGCCCCCAGCUCAACUGGGGAAGUGCCUUGGAAACUGCGGGUCUUGAGGGAGGUAGGGGCAUGUGGAACUUCGGGUGGAGCGGUGAAAUGCGUUGAUAUCCGAAGGAACGCCGGUGGCGAAAGCGACGUGCUGGAUCUCUUCUGACGCUGAGGCGCGAAAGCCAGGGUAGCGAACGGG